GCUGAUUCCAAAACUUAAGGGUUUCCAAGGCAACCAGAAGGGGGAAAUUAAUCGACUGUAGUAACCGCAGUAGCUUUAAGAUGACCACAAAGGUUUUCUUGCCAGUGGCCCUUAAUCCACAUUCUGUGAUCUCUGGACUCCUACCGUUGAAUGAACCAGAUUCAGAAGUCCAUGGUGGUUUGCAUUUUGAAGGCUGACUGGUUACUGGUGUGUAUCAUGUGCUGGAGCAUAUAUACAGUGGGCCACUUCACCAAAGACUGUCCACUGUUCGACAGAACUGUCUAAAUUGUUUACCACAAAGGUAACCAGAGAUUGCACCAACAAUGGCACCUAAUUGGUCUAUGCCAGACAACUCCUGGUCAAUUAAAUGCAUAAUUCAUCUUGGCAUUAAUUAUUCAUCUCUUAAGGGACUGGUGCUGUGCUUUAUUAGGAGGACUGCAUCAUGCAUAUUCAAAUUCAUUUUCUUAGUGGGACGCAAUAGGAUAUCAUCUCAGCUGGGAGGCCCAUCCUAAAAACAAUACGACUGUAAGACAGCUUGUAUUGAUCGCACAACUAAACCAAAGAGGGUUUGCAAAGAGGAAGGUGUGUAAUGUCUCAUUUUUGUCACUCAGCAAACAUUACACUGUCUAACGGUUGCUGUAUAAUUAAUCUGUUAUUAUUGCUAACUCUCUUGUGUUUAGAUAAUGUUAUUUUUAAAUAAUAGUCAUGUCACUGUAAAAUUGUCUGUUAAUUUAAAAAAAUCAACACUAUAUGCCAUUGUGUUUAGUCUACACAUUGUGUUUUGUAGUGGUAUUCCUCCACUGUUACUGCACAAUUCCUCCUGUGUCUUGUCGAGAAGAGAAGCAAGGGGAAAGUUUACUUUAAUACACUUAAAAGUUAAUGCCACCCACUUUAAAAACCACAAUUUCUACAGUAAUCACUGUGCCCUGGUGGUUAAGUCAAUACUUCACAUUCACUCUAGAGAUUGAAAAGUGAAUGUUUCAUGAUGUGAGGUCACUUUGAUGUACUGCUCAAUAGAUAUAGAUACUAUAUAGGGCACAGCCUUUGUUGACCCAUAAGGUUUUUGUGUGAGUUAUUGCACCCAAAGGAUUUUUACAUACUAGAGAAGGAGGACUUAUCUGUUAGCAUUAGGUCACGGUUUUGAACAGAAGACUGAAGCAGCAAUAACAUUUUUUACCACUAGGUGGAGGCUUUUUCAGGAUUUUGUUUGAGGCGCUGCUCCACAAAAUAACUGUAAUCAACACAGGCAGAGAAUAAUGUACAGACACUGUCUCUCUUUUUUAAAUUAUCAGUGAAUGUUUAUUGUACAGCAACCACCAUAAAAUGUAUAAUAUGAAUAUAAAAUGCAUAUUGUUUUCUAUUUCUCUGAUUAAAAGCACCCAACUGGAACAAAAUUUUUAUUUAAUUUCAUAUUUUAUGCAGAAUAUACAGGCCUCUACAUGGAUGGAUUUGUCUUGUUUGUUGAUGGCAUGGUUGCAGAUAUUGCUCAGUGGAUAGUCUUCAUAAUAUAAAAACUCAAUACAUUGCCUGGCAAGCUGCUGGAGACACUAAUGAAUCACACAGUAUGGGAUUAAGGGUGCGCAUAAAAUAAGCGAAAUUCUAACAAAAGAACAAAAAUGCCUGUAUAAAUAGAUCAUAAGGAAAAAGAUAGAAAAUACAGUAUACUACUUUCCACAAUUUGUGUGUCACUUUGUCAUCUUAUUUACAGAUAGAAGAUAGAACACAGAAAAGUUCAUCUUACUUUUGCUUUUUCAUAUAUAUAUAUUUAAGGUUUUAUCCAUUC